GAUGAACGCUGGCGGCGUGCCUAAUACAUGCAAGUCGAGCGAACAGACGAGGAGCUUGCUCCUCUGACGUUAGCGGCGGACGGGUGAGGAACACGUGGAUAACCUAUCUAUAAGACUGGGAUAACUUCGGGAAACCGGAGCUAAUACCGGAUAAUAUAUUGAACCGCAUGGUUCAAUAGUGAAAGACGGUUUUGCUGUCACUUAUAGAUGGAUCCGCGCCGCAUUAGCUAGUUGGUAAGGUAACGGCUUACCAAGGCAACGAUGCGUAGCCGACCUGAGAGGGUGAUCGGCCACACUGGAACUGAGACACGGUCCAGACUCCUACGGGAGGCAGCAGUAGGGAAUCUUCCGCAAUGGGCGAAAGCCUGACGGAGCAACGCCGCGUGAGUGAUGAAGGUCUUCGGAUCGUAAAACUCUGUUAUUAGGGAAGAACAAAUGUGUAAGUAACUAUGCACGUCUUGACGGUACCUAAUCAGAAAGCCCCGGCUAACUACGUG
rnacentral:rRNA from 1 species